GCCAGGCUGGCAUAGUGGUUUGGGCGUUGGAUUACAACUCUGGAGACCAGGGUUUGAAUUCCUCUUGGCC